GCCAGCCUGACUCGUGUAAUACCGUAGAUACACGAUACGAUACCUGGCUCAACAACCCUUCGUGUGCCAGUGUAUGGCUUCCUCUUGUAAUGCUUCCGAAAAAUCAGGCCUCGCAGACAGCCAUUUAUCUUUGCUCGGAAAGCGCGCGUCUUUUUAGUGGACUGUGAAUGCAUAAAUUUUGCUCUUAAGGAAGAUGGAGUUUGCAUAUAAAAUAAUUUAUAUCAACAGCCACAGAAGUACGGUCGAUAUUCAAUUGCAGUGUGUAAUAAAGUAUACGUGUAUAAUAGUACGAAUUCAUAUCGAAUGGAGGUUAUGUGUAUGAUAUCUCGAUCCAACAAAAGACACCUAUCAUCCCCGAAUGUUUUCUAUGGAUCGGACCGAUCGUCGAUCGCCGAUACAAUCAAUAAGCCUGAUUGUGAAUCACUUAGUGGCUCGGGUGUUCCUUGAAGAGGAUGCUUGUGUAGGUGGGUGGGGUUUCGUGGGGCUGCUAUGGAUAUAUACAUAUUAUACACGUGGGGUCCGAUGGGGAGGACCCAUUAGGCUAAUCCCUCGUCGGCGGCCAGGCCAAAGGAAGGGAAUAAGAAGGAAUAAGAAAGCCACAGGCUACGUGUCAUUCCUGUUCGACCGCCGACACCUAUACCCGGACCGACCGACAUCUACCUAUCUAUAUAUUCGUCUCGAGGGAAUCAAGAUAAUUCUUUGCGAUAAAUCCAUGCAUUCCGGUUGACGUAAAAAGAAGAUCAAAAAUGAAAGAAACACAAAUGGUGGACAAGCCAGAUCACAGUGGAGGCAGUGUGGAAGAAAGAUGAAGAUAGACUCUGGAGGUGGGGUAAGGAUAAUGUGUGCCCCAUAAGAUAUUGACACUCCUGUAAUCCGUUUGUCGGACGUGUGGGCAACCUGGCUAAUCCAGCUCACGCCCACCGGAGAUUAAAUCCGCCGGCGAGGCUUGGCUCGACUGAGCCUGCAGGACCAAAACUCCGACAUCGUGAGGGAACGCGUCAAAGUUUCACCGAUGAGAGAGAAUGCGGGUUAAAAGCUCCUCGUCCUCUCAGACGUCGGAUUCGCCGACUUUCCUCCUUCCAUUCUCGGUAUUUUAUUUUUAUUUCACUUA